UUUUACUACGGAGGAGACGAUUCGCGCCAGUUCACGCCGGAGAUUGCUAGCAAGAUUCCUGAGCAAACGAACCAAUCAGAAGAUGGACCAUUUUCUAUGUUCACCAUUCAGAAGACUCUCUGCCAUUGCAGUCCCACAUGACCAGGAAGUUACCUAACAUCAGCGCA